rnacentral:rRNA from 1 species
UACGAAGGGGGCUAGCGUUGCUCGGAAUCACUGGGCGUAAAGCGCACGUAGGCGGAUUGUUAAGUCAGGGGUGAAAUCCUGGAGCUCAACUCCAGAACUGCCUUUGAUACUGGCGAUCUCGAGUCCGGGAGAGGUGAGUGGAACUGCGAGUGUAGAGGUGAAAUUCGUAGAUAUUCGCAAGAACACCAGUGGCGAAGGCGGCUCACUGGACCGGUACUGACGCUGAUGCGCGAAAGCGUGGGGAGCAAACGGG